rnacentral:rRNA from 1 species
CCCUUAAAAGACGAUAAGACCCUAGGAUCUUCMUAUUUUUAAUUGGGUCAAUAGUCAAAAAUAAURGUGWCUUCUUAGCCUCUUAAUGAACCAAAUUCCUGUUGCAAGACAAAGAUACCCUAGGGAUAACAGCACUAACUUCCUCUAAAGCCCCUAUUGAAAGGAAAGUAGUGACCUCGAUGUUGAAUUAAGAUUGGAGAGGCUGAAGCCGGCUUUCUUCCGGGGUCUGUUCGACCCUUUCAUCUUACGUGAUCUGAGUUCAGACCGG